rnacentral:rRNA from 1 species
CGGCACCUAUCUUCGGAUAGAAGCGAGUGGCGAACGGCUGAGUAACACGUGGAGAACCUCGCCCCCCUCCCCCCGGGAUAGCCGCCCGAAAGGACGGGUAAUACCGGAUACCCCGGGGUGCCGCAUGGCACCCCGGCUAAAGCCCCGACGGGAGGGGAUGGCUCCGCGGCCCAUCAGGUAGACGGCGGGGUGACGGCCCACCGUGCCGACAACGGGUAGCCGGGUUGAGAGACCGACCGGCCAGAUUGGGACUGAGACACGGCCCAG